rnacentral:lncRNA from 1 species
GAGCCUGAGAAGUAAAAGAAGGAGAAGGAGGAGCCGUUUGCCCCGCAGGCGUAAAGGGCAAGGAGCUGCUUAAGGGCUGUUUCCGGAGGAGGAGCUGGAUCAGCUGCGUGCGUGGACAGUGAGGAUGAGGACGACUGGGAUGAACCGUCUGUGUUGCAGAUGCAGAGAAGGAAGAUUUGGAGGAGCUGUUUGUCACGGUGCCUUGGAGGAGGUGGAGGCAAGAAAUGUAAUGCCUUGGAGGAGGAGGAGGAGGAGGGGUCUGGUGCGCUGGCCCGGCUGAUAAAACGGGUGAGUGAAAAAGCGGAGAGUGCAAAUAAAUGGGGAGAAGCCUGGCCUAAAUUCUAAUCCCGUUGCCAACAUCUGGCCGGGAGUAAAAUUGUUCUGAGGAGGCUAAUCUCGUUUAUAGCGCUCCUGAGCUCCUGGCUGAUUAUUUUUAACCUGCGCUGAAGGAGGUUCCCUAGGUAUUGAGUUGCUGGAGUGUGUUGACCCUGGGAACAGAGAGUUGCACAGAUAGUCCUGUGUUGUCUGUGUAGCAAACAUACGUGAUGUAAAUUAAAGUUGGGACAUCAGUCACUGAGUUUCAAGAAGCGAUAACACCCAGAUGGCACUAACAACGUGUUCCUAGCAAGGAUUUUGACAGGAGCCUGGCUUGCUACCUGUUCUGAAGGCUUCAAAGUGGUACAUGUUGCAUAAACCUUGCCCUGUCCCUAAACAAAGGGGGCCAAAGCCAAAGGGGGAUUUGGCUUGACUGGUGUGAGAUUCGCAGGACACAUGCCCACGCGCCGUGUAACAUGUCCCGUUGCUCAGUCCGCCUUGCCCACCGCAGUCCUGCCUUCUCGCGUUACGGAGCUGCAGCCUUUAUCCCAACAGAAACUACAGCCAGAAGAAUCCUCACAUGAUCAGUUCCAUCCCACCCUUUCCUCCAUCCCCAAAUACGUCAGCUUAGAAAACAAGGUACAAGUUUGCAACUCUCUUCUACUUCAUCUGGAACAAGAUUCAGUAGGGGCUUUGCUGUUUCUUUGGUCAGACCUUUCCCACUUUGCAUAAAUAAAUAUUCACUACAGUACGGACUCCAGUCUUGGUUUUCCACCCUCUGAUGACCUGAAUUAAAGUGGCAGAGAGACCUUUUGCCUUGGUGCUGUUUUAUGCAAGGCCUGUGAAGUAUGGUCUGGGAUUGCCUGCUGCCGAAGGCCAAGAAGCACGAAACAUGCUGGUGUCAGGAUUUUGGUUGAGAGGCCAGCUCAACUCAGCACUGGAAGCACAGGUGAUUCAGAAAUGUCUGCAACAGAAAUAUUGGUUUCUCUCCUCACAGGUGGCAGCUGGGCAUGAAUUUUGAGGCUCUUGAUACUUGAAUCUGCAGAUACCUGUGAUGGUAGUUAUUCAGCUGUAGAUGACAAAAAUUAGACUUUCACCUUUCAGCUAGUUGUUUCCCUUAAUACUCACUUUCAGGAUGCCUUCAGAGAGGACGAAUUGCACUCUGGAAGUGCUCAUUUCUCUCCAUUGGCUCUAAAUGGGGCCCACAGUGACUAGCCCGAUCUUUUGGGUACUUAGAGUCUGUGAUUCUCACCCCCAGGCUUAUCUGUGAGCCCUCUCACAGUUCCUAUUAAUUUCAAAAGAAGUGAGAAUUAAAGGUCUCAGUCUAUGCUAAUUUGUGUGAAUGAUCUAUUUGAAAAUAGAAAUACAGGUCAGACCCAAGACUGUAAGAUUUGUCCUCCCAGACCAAACUGGCGGUGAAGGGUAGGGCCUUUGGUGCAGAACUGGUUACUGCAGGGUGCCUCAAACAGAGAACAAAAGUGCCCUGUAAAGCAUUUUACUUGUUUUAUGUAAAGCACAAACAAUUUCUGGAAAUGACAUUUAACUGAUUAUUCAAUGUCCAAUUAUAUAUCACAUCUAGAAUAAUUCCUGAAGUUGAAGAAAUAAAACACUGAAUGACUCCA